ensembl:lncRNA
CAUAAAAAUGUUUGUUCUGACAAAACUUAUUAGAGAGACUUGGCUGGACAUUUGCUUCAUACUUCUCUUCUUCAGGAAAGAUCAAUUCAAACUACCUAUAAAUCAUAGAGUUCAUAGAAAAGUGUUAUCCUCCGAUGUUCUUGCAGACUCCACGGAUAAGAAAAUAAGCCAUCUCAGGUCAAGUGAUCCAAAAAUAAGCUCAAACACUGAAGAGACAUAGACAUGUGAAUUCAUUUAAUCAUUUCUGUCAGAGAAAGAUUAAACUGAUGACAAAGCAUGAUUAGUAUAAGACGUGAAAGAGUCGACUCAUGAGAGAAAAAACAUUUUCAGUAUACUAUGUAGUAAAUAGCUUGAUUCGAUUAUUUGAUAAACAGUUAUCACUGAUCAAUGAGCUCAAUUCAGUUUUGCUUUCCUGUUUUGUUCAAAUGAACAACUUCAGAUCAGUUUGAUUGAUAUUAGUAAAUGCUGUAAAUGUCUCAAAUUUAAUAUUCAUGUUAAAUUAGGAAUGUUACGAAUUAAAGAUAUCAUCUUAAAAUGUUUAUUUUCUUUGUUGUUGUUUUUUUUUAGUUUCUUCUGGAUUCUAUUUUGAAGGAAGAAAAGACGCAUUUUUAUGUUUUUUGGAGGGAUCUUAUGGAUAUUUUGAUUGUAAUGCAAGAGACAUCAUCUGGGUGGACGAAACUGGAGCCAAGGUUUCUGAAUAUUUGACCCAUUCUUUUAUCAAAUGUUAUUCUGCUGAGAUCAUAAUACGUCGCCCUGGAAACAACAAAAGAUUCACCUGCCAGUUUGUUGAGAACAACAAAGUGAUAAUAGACACUGUCUACAUUCCUAAAGACAUCAGUGGACAAACUGAACAUCUCUAUCACAGAGUUGGAGAUGACGUCGUUUUACCUUGUAGAGCUAAAUCCUCCUCUUCCUCGUGCUCUGAUGUUAACUGGCUGUACUGGACAGAUCCAACUGCAUCAUUUAUAACAGAAAUACAGGUUGAAGAUUUUGAGCAGAGAUCAGUUGGAACUUCUAGAUUGAGUUUGAGCAGUAACUGCUCUCUGCUGAUCAGAAACAUCACAGAUGAGGAUGCUAGAGAAUAUGUCUGUCGGGUUGUGAACGAGAGCGAUGCCAAUGUGGUUCUUAAUACUUUGAGCGUUUCUACAGAUCCACCAGACGUUCAUCCAAGAGGAAAUGGAGAUAUCACAUUACGGUGUUCACUGAAUAGAUAUGAUAAAAGAAUUCCCUGUGAACAGAACAGCAUCAUCUGGAUGGAUGAGAGAGGAUCUCAGCUGACUGGUGAAGGUGUUGGGUUUGAGUUUAGAGGAAAAACAAACUGUGUUUCUGUUCUGACUGUGAAACAUCAGAGUGGAAACAAUAAAACAGUCACCUGCCGGUUUAUUGAGGACAACAAAGUGAAGAUAGAUGCUGACUGUGUUCUACACUUUUCAGAUCUUCCUGGUCUCAACCUCAUCAUCAUCGGUGGAGCAGUGAUGAAGGUGGUGUUGAUGUUUCUGGGUGUGGUUGCUGCUCUGGUCUACGUGUACAGGAGGAGAACCAAAGGAAAUGAAGAACAGAGAACUAGAACAAGAAGAACCACUGAAAAUGAUGAUGAAGAUGCCCUGUGAAGAGGAGAUGCAAGAAACUCUUCUGACAGAAAAACAACAUUUGAGCCUAUACAUUUUUUCUUUAACAUUGUUGAAUUAGCGCAAGUUUAAUCUUUUUGCAGACUGCUCUUCUUUUUACUAGCUUUACAUGCUAACAUGUUCUGAAGUUAAAGUGAUAAAAUAAUUUUCUGUUUGAAUUUUUUUAACCAUUUUACACAGAGUGUUCAUGUUCUUGGAGUUUUGCCUUCUUUUGCUUAAGACAUUUUUAGAGAGCUGCUUAAAUAUGAAUUAUGUAUUACAAGACAUGCUUUUGGAUAUCGUUUUUCUUAU